UUGGUACUCCCUCCGUCUGAAAAUACUUGUCAUUGAAAUGGAUGUAUCUAGAUGUAUUUUAGUUCUAGAUACAUUCAUUUUCAUCCAUUUUGAUGACAAGUAAUUCCGGACGGAGGGAGUAGUAU
rnacentral:pre_miRNA from 1 species